UUUUAAAUUUAGGUGUGUUGGUAGAUGACACUCUAGGCACCGUGCCUAUUAAUUCCUGUGUUAAAAAAGUGAGUGCACGCGAAUUAAAAGUUGGACUUAAAUUACUAGAUUUUAACAUGGAACUCCAUUAAGAAAACUAUUUUUAAUUAGUCCCUAGAUACUACUUCUUUUCUUGGGGUAUUGAAGCCUAUUCGUCCAGAACUUGCUCAACUUUUGCGACUAGCCUUGUCGCCAUAGGGUUGUACACAUCCUCGUUUAAUACUGAUUGUCACGUGACACGGCAAUGUGUGUGUGUGUGUGUCGUUAGGCUGUUUGGCCUGUAUUCAAGGCGUUCUAUCCGUUAUGAUUUUAUAUUGAAGCAGAAUACAUCAGGUAUAGGCCCAUGUCAAGUCAAAUCGAUACAGGGAUCGAGGAGGGGGGAGGGGUAGAGCAAAAAAUUCCCAGUCACAUGAAAAAUGAUAUUUUUUAAUGAUUGUUCAUGCAUUAGGGCAAACCCCUGUGUGGCAGGAGCAUGAUGAGUAAAAAAAAUGAAAUAGUAGAAAGAAAGAGGCCGAAACAUAUGGCACGUGGGAAUAAAGUUGCUUUAUAUGUUCCAAGCGAAUGAAGCAAGCGAGAAAAAACCUUUCGUGCAAAUCUAAAUUUGAGACAGAUAUCUUACCUUACACUUUUCCUAAUUUUGGUUUCUUUAAUUCCCUUCAUUUUUUUAUAUCUUGGUUGUACGUAGAACAUUCGGGGGGCAUGCACUGGGCAUAACCCUGGCUUGUGUACCCCAGUGCUAAAUCAGCAGGUGGGUUUUGAUAUCUCUGGAUCUUUAGCAAUUUUAAAACUUUUUAUAGUUGUAAUGGAUGAGAAAAUCCCUGCAAUCUGAUUGGUUGAGAGCAAUGCAAAAAUUUUACUGGGCUGCAUGAACGAUAUCCCGAUAAUCAAAACGCAACGAUAUCCACUGUAAACAAGCAAUCGUCCGAAAAGGUCAUUGUGAUGUCAUCGCGCAUGUACUGUUACCGUCGCUUGUUUACGUCAAAAUUUGAAUUUCGAUCAAAGCAGAAUGAAUCAAAGGAUGCAAAAUGAUCUAUUCCCAUUCAGCCAUUGGACUGAACCGGUACCAAGACCGGAACUGUAACACAGUAAGGAUGGUCAAUAUGAAGCGAGCUUCAUUGAAUUCCUCCAAGAGCUCUGUACUCUGUUCUGAUCAUUUUGAAGAUGCUUGCUUUGACCUGGGCAGACGAUACGUCUUAAACAGGAUGCUGUCCCAACCAUAUUUGAUUUCCCGCCUCGUCUUCAGAAGAAUUCACCCAAACCAAGGUAUUUCCCAAAAGACUUUUCGAUUCAGCAAACAACCUCCCAGAUACUGCAAAGACACCAGUGCCAAAGUCUUCAGCACCUUAAUUUCUCGAAGACCACUCCUACUGAAUACCAGAAAGUCCAAGAGGGGUAAAGUGGAAGUCAACAACAAUAAUGGACUGUAUUAAAACUUGGAGAAGAGGCUGAAAACCACACAGAAGUCCUACCUUAUACAUUACUUGCUUUUAAGUUUGGACAAACAUUGAUUUGCACAACUUUACAACAAAAAAUUUACGCUGUGUGGAUUCUGAUUAUUUAAAAUAGCUCAAUGAAAACGUUUAUCACUGGGCAUGUAACAAAAAUGAAUUCAUUGAAUUUGAAGAUGUCUUACAGUAUAUUCAUUCUGAUUUGAAUGUCAGAAGAGAAAAAAGUUUGUGAAAAGUAGGAAUGACGGCAAGCUGACAGAAGAAUAGAAUACAUGUAGGAUAGAACAAGGCCACAGUUAUAAAUGAGCUGUUGGAUAGAGACAAAAAGAUGAAUUAAGAAUGGGGGUGAUAGAGAAAUAGAGACAGGAAUUGGGGAGCCUGUGAUGAAUGCCUGAGAAAGUAAAAAUUACCAUAUUUUAUUUUUUUAAGGAUUUGAACAGUCAGGAAGAAUGUGGUCUUUUUUCUGUUGUUAUUUCUCAAAAUACUGGUAUGUUUUGUGUACAGAAAGGGGUAUAAUCCUUUGCAAUAAUCACUCUCACAGAAAAUAUUAACUAAUCAAAAGAAAAGUCAAAUAUUUCACUGAUUUACAAUUGUUCGGUCACUCUCAUAUCUAAAGUUACCCCCCCCCCCAUCAUUUCAAGGUAUUGGAGAGAGAGGUUGGGCAGGACAUGGCUGUCAGCAGAAAAAAAAUGCAGGGUGGGGCAAAACAAUUUUGGGAUAUGUGCGAGGGAGCGAAUGCGACAGAGCAGAAUUUUGUGGGGGGAUAUAUGCGAGAGAGCAAAAUGACAGAAGGAAAAUGCAGGGGCCAAGAGAUUUGAGGAAUAUGUAAGAGGGAGCGAAGUGACCAAGCAGAAGAAAUGUAGAGGACAACAAAUUGUUGGGUAUGUGAGGGAGCAAAGCAACCAAUUAAAAAAGGAGGUUAGUCAAAACGUUCUUGAAUAUGAGUAAGGAAGCAACUUGUUCACUUCCGAGCAGUAGGACUCGUUUUAAAAUAGCUUAGGAAAUAUGUGUUUCCUAAGCAUGGUAAACACAUAUUGUAGGCCUAUAGUACAAUUUAGGUGCUCUAAGAGUUAAAUUCUGAAUGAGCUGCAUUUGCUGGUAAAUCAUGCGCAGAGGAUCUUUGUCUUUUAUCCAUUUCUACACUUUUCUUUAGAUUUCAGUUUUAAGGCGGGAAGGAUCCCACCCUCCUGUGGAUGCUAAUAUUUUGACUGACCCUGGGUAAAUAGAAUAAUUACAAAAACAAAAAUGAUGUUUUAAUAUGAGAUUUUUUAAUGCCCCUUGAAAGUCCACCAUCUUUCUCACUCUCUCCAUCUUUCUUUUUAUUCAUUUUAACUUUCCAAUUCUUUCUCUCUUGAUAUCUAUAAAGUUCAGGUUCACCCUUUUAACUUGCACUAUUCCAAGCCCCCAACCAAUUGGCAUCCACAGGAAUGGGGGAGUGGGGCUUCCCCUAGAAAAUAAAGUCAAACAAAAGAAAAAUGUGGAAAAUAGAAAUGGAUAAAGACAAAUAAUCCUCUACGCAUGUCUUACCUACCAAUACAGUUCAUUCACAAUUUAAUUCUUGCAACACCUAAAUUCUACUAUGAGUUUACCAUACUUAGAAAAUGCAUAUUUCCUAUGCCAUUUUUAAACAAGUCCCUAUCGCUGGGAGUGAACGUGUUGCUCACCAGCACGAAUUCGAAAAUAUUUUGAUUGACCUGGGGCCCGUUUCAUAAAACAUUUGCCGCAGCGGCAACUCCCAUUUUCUGCGGCAAAUCUCAAAACAGCGGCAAAUGACAAUUUCUGCGGCAAUAUUUGAUGCAGCUAUUUGAGCUGCGUCAAAUAUUUGCCGCAGAUACUUUCAGGGGCAAAUGACAAUUUCUGCGACAAUAUUUGAUCUAUUUGAGUUGCGUCAAAUAUUGCAGCAGAAACGG